rnacentral:rRNA from 1 species
AGAGUUUGAUCCUGGCUCAGAACGAACGCUGGCGGCAGGCUUAACACAUGCAAGUCGAACGCACUCUUCGGAGUGAGUGGCAGACGGGUGAGUAACGCGUGGGAACGUACCUUUCGGUUCGGAAUAACCCAGGGAAACUUGGGCUAAUACCGAAUGCGCCCUUACGGGGAAAGAUUUAUCGCCGAAAGAUCGGCCCGCGUCGGAUUAGCUAGUUGGUGGGGUAAUGGCCUACCAAGGCAACGAUCCGUAGCUGGUCUGAGAGGAUGAUCAGCCACACUGGGACUGAGACACGGCCCAGACUCCUACGGGAGGCAGCAGUGGGGAAUAUUGGACAAUGGGCGAAAGCCUGAUCCAGCCAUGCCGCGUGAGUGAAGAAGGCCUUAGGGUUGUAAAGCUCUUUCAGCGGGGACGAUAAUGACGGUACCCGCAGAAGAAGCCCCGGCUAACUUCGUGCCAGCAGCCGCGGUAAUACGAAGGGGGCUAGCGUUGUUCGGAAUUACUGGGCGUAAAGCGCGCGUAGGCGGACCCUUAAGUCAGAGGUGAAAUCCCAGGGCUCAACCCUGGAACUGCCUUUGAUACUGGAGGUCUGGAGUUCGGGAGAGGUGAGUGGAAUUCCGAGUGUAGAGGUGAAAUUCGUAGAUAUUCGGAGGAACACAAGAAGCGAAGGCGGCUCACUGGCCCGAUACUGACGCUGAGGCGCGAAAGCGUGGGGAGCAAACAGGAUUAGAUACCCUAGUAGUCC